UUUGGUGAAGCAAGGUGGCCUAGCAGAGUGUUUUCAACAAAGCUUGCACCCUGUCAGACCAUACUUGUUUUAACUAACC
rnacentral:pre_miRNA from 1 species